GUGUGGUGGCUCAGCCGGGAAGGGGCUAGCUUAUAGCCCAAAUGACCGGGGUUCGACUCCCCGCUAUGGCA